rnacentral:misc_RNA from 1 species
AAAAUUAUAAUUUUAAAAACUUUUAAAGAGGGCCAUGGCCCCUCACCCGCAGUGUAGUUUGGCUCAUAGUUGGGAUGGAACCACAUCGCAGCUCAUCAGUUGAUUUUUCUUAGUUGAACAUGGUCGGGAAAAGGCAAAAUUUUCCAACUUUUUCCAACUGAUGCAAAAAGCAAACUAGGAACCUGUUCCUCUACUCCUCUGCCCGCCAAACUGGGUCCUACUAUUUAUAGCACAUCUUUCUAUUAUUGAAAUGGAGUGGUCCUUGUCCUUUACGAUCUUUUGCAAUAAGAUUUCUAUUUUAAUUGAAGGAAAAUUUUAGAGAAUCAUACUUAUCGUGAAGAUACCUUCAAAUAUU